UACGUAGGGGGCAAGCGUUGUCCGGAUUCAUUGGGCGUAAAGAGCGUGUAGGCGGCCAGGUAGGUCGGUUGUGAAAACUGGAGGCUCAACCUUCAGAGGUCGACCGAAACCAUCUGGCUAGAGUCCGGGAGAGGAGAGUGGAAUUCCUGGUGUAGCGGUGAAAUGCGCAGAUAUCAGGAAGAACACCCGUGGCGAAAGCGGCUCUCUGGAACGGUACUGACGCUGAGGAGCGAAAGCGUGGGUAGCAAACAGG
rnacentral:rRNA from 1 species